GACGAACGCUGGCGGCGCGCUUAACGCAUGCAAGUCGAACGAGCUCCAUCCGGUGGCAACACCGGUGAAGAGCUAGUGGCGAACGGGUGAGUAUCACGUGAGGAACCCACCCUGGAGACCGGGAUAACCCUCCGAAAGGAGAGCUAAUACCGGAUGUCCUCAUCUGACCGCAUGAUCGGAUGAGGAAAUGGAUUCCGCUCCAGGACGGCCUCGCGGCCUAUCAGCUUGUUGGUGGGGUAACGGCCCACCAAGGCGACGACGGGUAGCUGGUCUGAGAGGACGAUCAGCCACACUGGGACUGAGACACGGCCCAGACUCCUACGGGAGGCAGCAGCGGGGAAUAUUGCACAAUGGGCGAAAGCCUGAUGCAGCGACGCCGCGUGGGGGAUGAAGGCUCUCGGGUUGUAAACCCCUUUCAGCAGGGACGAAAUCAGACGGUACCUGCAGAAGAAGCCCCGGCCAACUACGUGCCAGCAGCCGCGGUAACACGUAGGGGGCG
rnacentral:rRNA from 1 species